rnacentral:rRNA from 1 species
UACCGAGUGGCGGACGGGUGAGUAACGCGUGGGACCUGCCCAUCCGGGGAUACGAUGGAACGACUGUAAUACCGCAUAAGCGCACGGCAUCGCAUGAUGCAGUGUGAAAAACUGAGGUGGAAUGGGAUGGCCCCGCGUCUGAUUAGCCAGUUGGCAGGGUAACGGCCUACCAAAGCGACGAUCAGUAGCCGGCCUGAGAGGGCGACCGGCCACAUUGGGACUGAGACACGGCCCAAACUCCUACGGGAGGCAGCAGUGGGGAAUAUUGCACAAUGGGGGAAACCCUGAUGCAGCCGACGCCGCGUGAGUGAAGAAGUAUUUCGGUAUGUAAAGCUCUAUCAGCAGGGAAGAAGAUGACGGUACCUGCACAAGAAGCCCCGGCUAACUACGUGCCAGCCGCCGC